rnacentral:rRNA from 1 species
GACGAACGCUGGCGGCGUGCUUAACACAUGCAAGUCGAACGGAAAGGCCCUGCUUUUGUGGGGUGCUCGAGUGGCGAACGGGUGAGUAACACGUGAGUAACCUGCCCUUGACUUUGGGAUAACUUCAAGAAACUGGGGCUAAUACCGGAUCGGAGCUCCUGCUGCAUGGUGGGGGUUGGAAAGUUUCGGCGGUUGGGGAUGGACUCGCGGCUUAUCAGCUUGUUGGUGGGGUAGUGGCUUACCAAGGCUUUGACGGGUAGCCGGCCUGAGAGGGUGACCGGCCACAUUGGGACUGAGAUACGGCCCAGACUCCUACGGGAGGCAGCAGUGGGGAAUAUUGCACAAUGGGCGGAAGCCUGAUGCAGCAACGCCGCGUGCGGGAUGACGGCCUUCGGGUUGUAAACCGCUUUCGCCUGUGACGAAGCGUGAGUGACGGUAAUGGGUAAAGAAGCACCGGCUAACUACGUG